rnacentral:lncRNA from 1 species
CGUCUUGAUUUGCCACAAAGAAAAUAUACUGUGGCGAUCCAAAAAUAGAAUCUCAAAUUUCUUAGUAUCCAUUCCUGAAUCAAUUAACAUUGUUUCAACCUCGAUUUAAUAUCCGAUUUGAACCUCUCAAGAACCCACCAAAAAACCUUCAACUCUGAUAUCAAUUUGUUGAGAAUUUGGCCAAAUAAUAAGACAAGAAAUAAGGGCAAAAUGAAAAUAAUAGAUCACACGACAAACAAGAUUUUUGCAGAAGAGGAGAUGAAUUGAUCAUAUCGAGAAACUAAAAUUGUUUUACAAGAUUUGAUACCCUCAAUCUAAAUCUAAACAAUUCUCUCAAAUUUCUAAUGUAUACAAUAAUGAUCUAAUUGUUAUGUCGAAUCUAUAAAGAGCCUACACCUCAUGGAAUAUUUAUGAGAGCCAAAUUUUGGAAUUACGAAUGAAGUAGAGUCCUUAAUCUCAAAGUCUUUAUCACAAUCAAACUCUCAAUCUAUGAUAGAAUUUGAUCCCUUAUCUAUUCAGACUUCUAAACCAAAUUUAUCUAAGCUUCCUCCAUGAACUACAAUUCCAAAUCACAGAGAAUUUGAGUCACAACCUAAAUUUCUAUUUUCUGUUGUUAUUUGUUUGACUUUACCAAAAUAAAAGGAUUG